AACGCACAUUGCGCCCCUUGGUAUUCCGAGGGGCAUGCCUAUUCGAGCGUCAUUAUCACCCCUCAAGCUCCGGCUUGGUGUUGAGGCCUGCCGUAAAGGCACCCUCUAAAAUCAGUGGCAGUGCCGUCCGGCUCUAAGCGUAGUAAAACACCUCGCUAUAGACUCGUGCGGUCCCUCGCCAGAAACCCCCCAUUUUUUUAAUGAUUGACCUCGGAUUAGGUAGGGAUACCCGCUGAACUUAA
rnacentral:misc_RNA from 1 species